UUGAGGAGGUAAUUUAGGCAUUGAAAUAGCUGUGUUGGAUCAAGGACACAUCUGAAACCUGCAGGACACCGGCCCUCGAGGCCUGGAAUUGGACACCUGUGAUCUAGCACACCAUUACAUGGGGAAAUCUUUUGAAUACAAGCACGCUGAUUCACACAGGUGUGCACACGGGUGUUCACUGUUCAUAGACAUAAACUACACCUUUAUUGGCUGCUAUUUCCAAGCACAUUGUGCGCUGUCGGUCCUUCUUGCUACACAACAACAUUCGAUAUUUAGUAUUUACUGCUGUUUACACUUGGCUAGAUUAACGUGAUGGUGUUGUGUUUAGUUUGUUGCUCUGGGUUUUUUUUUUUGCUUGUUUUCUCUUCUUUUUCUGUCAACAGGUGAUCCAGGAGAUUUUUUUUCUUCUUUCUCUUUUUAAGUGCCCUUUCUCACUGUCCCUCCUUUUGCUUCUUGUUCGCUCUCUUUUAUUGUCUUCUCUCACUGUCCCGUUUCUCCUCUGUUUUUCUUCACCCCCCCCCCCCCCCCUCUUUCUGUUAGGGUGAAAUUGUUAAAUGUUGCCAUUAUUGUACGUACAUUUUUAAGCCUUGGUUCAAACUGUAUGAUCAAAGACAUUCUGUUUCUGUCCUUAUUUAGUGAGGAUGUUUACUUCUUUCAAUUUAUGGCCCCGCCUGUGCUUGUGUAUGGGUGACCAUUAAAGGGGUUGAGGCAUAUACAGGGUGAGGGGAGAUGACCCUUUGUGAUCAGCAGGAAGUCACACAAAAACACCCACAUCCACACACAGACUCACACACGUGCACACACACACGUGCACACACACACGUGCACACACACACACGUGCACACACACACACACACACACACACACACACACACACACACACACACAUGCUCGUACAUGCAUACGCACACACUCAGUGCCUUAGUUUUAUGACGCACUAUAGGGUUUUUUUUUACGAUGGGUGUUUUUGUAAACUGUGUUCACAGAAUAAAGGCUGCAGGGGAAGCUGGGUUCUUUGGAGUGGUCUGAGACCGAGGGCAGAGGUGCUGCUCUGAGA
ensembl:lncRNA